CCUACGGGCGGCUGCAGUGGGGAAUUUUGGACAAUGGGGGCAACCCUGAUCCAGCCAUUCCGCGUGAGUGAAGAAGGCCUUCGGGUUGUAAAGCUCUUUCGCAAGGGAAGAAAACUUACUCCAUAACACUGGGUGAGGCUGACGGUACCUUGAUAAGAAGCACCGGCUAACUACGUGCCAGCAGCCGCGGUAAUACGUAGGGUGCGAGCGUUAAUCGGAGCUACUGGGGGCGGUGCUUUAAGUGGCGGGUGAAAUCCCCGGGCUCAACCUGGGAACUGAGUUUGAAACUACAAGGCUAGAGUAUGGCAGAGGGGGGUAGAAUUCCACGUGUAGCAGUGAAAUGCGUAGAGAUGUGGAGGAAUACCAAUGGCGAAGGCAGCCCCCUGGGUCAAUACUGACGCUCAUGCACGAAAGCGUGGGGAGCAAACAGGAUUAGAUACCCUAGUAGUC
rnacentral:rRNA from 1 species